rnacentral:lncRNA from 1 species
AUGGCAGAUGAUGCCUGUGCAGCAGGAGGGCCCAGAGGAACCAGUGGCCCAUGAUUAGGAGGCCGUGCUGGCUACCAGGGAGGAUAUGGCAGUGGUCUUAGGGGCUGAUGUGGCUCUUGGGGCUCGUGGAGGUAAAGCUGAAGACAAGGAGUGGAUUCCAUCACCAAGCUGGGCCACUUGGUUAAGGACAUGAAGAUCAAAUCCUUGGAGAUCUACCUGUUCUCCCUGCUCAUUAAGGCAUCUGAGAUUAUUGACUUUUUCCUGGGUGCAUCCCUAAAGGAUGAGGUUCUGAAAAUCAUGGCAGUGCAGAAGUAGAUUUAGGCUGGCCAGCGGACCAGAUUUAAGGCUUUCGUAGCUAUUGAGGACUAUAAUGGUCACAUUGGUCUUGGUGUUAAGUGCUCCAAGGAGGUUGCCACUGCCAUCUCAGGGGCCAUCAUCUUGGCCAAUCUUUCCAUCGUCCUUGUGAAGAGAGGCUACUGGAGGAACAAGAUUGGCAAGCUACACACUGUUCACACCAGAGUCUCUGUUCAGAAGACCCAGGCUCCAGUUGUGGCUACUACA